GGCAAGGGGUACCCCUUGUGAAAUUUUCGAGUGGAAAUUUUUUUUAAAAUUUUUUUCUGAUUUUUUAUUCUUUUAUUAAUUUAAAGCAUUAUUUGAGUGAAAAGAAACUUAUUGCAACUAAUUCGCAUUAAAAUAUAUCAAUUUUUUAAAUUUUGCUGAAUUGCUCAAAAAUGAGGAAAAUUUUACAUUUUCUCAAACAGGGUAAGGAACUUGGUUCCUCGAAUAACUUCUGGCACAGACAUCUGAGGGCAUGGCCGUCCAUGAAGAAAAUGUAGCCAUUGGUGCCAUCUAUCGACCACAGGUUAAAGAUUGGCGAUCCGUUGGAUACCGACCGAGUUAUAGCCAAAACUUGGCGCAAAAAUGAGGAAAAUUUUACAUUUUCUUAAACAGGGUAAGGAACUUGGUUCCUCGAAUAACUUCUGGCACAGACAUCUGAGGGCAUGGCCGUCCAAGAAGAAAAUGUAGCCAUUGAUGCCAUCUAUCUACCACAGGUUAAAGAUUGG